rnacentral:rRNA from 1 species
UCCUACGGGGGGCAGCAGUGGGGAAUUUUGCGCAAUGGGCGAAAGCCUGACGCAGCAACGCCGCGUGAGUGAUGAAGGCUUUCGGGUCGUAAAGCUCUGUCAAGGGGAAAGAAGUGUAUUGUGGCUAAUAUCCACGAUACUUGACGGUACCCCUGAAGGAAGCACCGGCUAACUCCGUGCCAGCAGCCGCGGUAAUACGGGGGGUGCAAGCGUUGUUCGGAAUUAUUGGGCGUAAAGCGCGUGUAGGCGGGUUGUUAAGUCUGAUGUGAAAGCCCUGGGCUCAACCCAGGAAGUGCAUUGGAUACUGGCAGACUUGAAUACGGGAGAGGGUAGUGGAAUUCCUGGUGUAGGAGUGAAAUCCGUAGAUAUCAGGAGGAACACCGGUGGCGAAGGCGGCUACCUGGACCGAUAUUGACGCUGAGACGCGAAAGCGUGGGUAGCAAACAGGAUUAGAUACCCCAGUAGUCAC